rnacentral:rRNA from 1 species
CUGCGGAGGGAUCAUUACACAAUAUGCAAGCGGGCUGGGAUCCCCGGGAGGGCGUCUAUUCUGCCGUUUCCGCCGCAUCUGCGGUGCUGAAGCGACAGGGCGGGCGUCUUUUCGGCCAGCCUGACUCCAUAUUCACCCAUGUCUUUUGCGUACUACUUGUUUCCUUGGUGGGUUCGCCCACCAACAGGACCAUUCAAACCUUUUUGUAAUUGCAAUCAGCGUCAGCAAAACAAUGUAAUAAAUUACAACUUUCAACAACGGAUCUCUUGGUUCUGGCAUCGAUGAAGAACGCAGCGAAAUGCGAUAAGUAGUGUGAAUUGCAGAAUUCAGUGAAUCAUCGAAUCUUUGAACGCACAUUGCGCCCUUUGGUAUUCCAAAGGGCAUGCCUGUUCGAGCGUCAUUUGUACCCUCAAGCUUUGCUUGGUGUUGGGCGUUUUUGUCUCUGGUCCGCCAGCGACUCGCCUUAAAAUCAUUGGCAGCCGGCCUACUGGUUUCGGAGCGCAGCACAAAUUUGCGCUUCUUCCAGCAGCGGUCCGCGUCCAUGAAGCCACUUUUUCAACGUUUGACCUCGGAUCAGGUAGGGAUACCCGCUGAACUUAAGCAUAUCAAUAAGCGGAGGAAAGAAACCAACAGGGAUUGCCCUAGUAACGGCGAGUGAAGCGGCAACAGCUCAAAUUUGAAAUCUGGCUCUUUCAGAGUCCGAGUUGUAAUUUGCAGAGGGCGCUUUGGCUUUGGCAGCGGU